GUCGACCACUGCCUUUCUGACCACCAGCUCCCGGAGCCUCUGCGAUGCCCCCCCGGCCCCCCACGCAGGAGACAGACAUCUCGGCGAGGGGCCGCGCGCACUGCCCACGUUGCUCAGGCUGACCUGCAGCUCCCUCUCGGUUGCCCGAUGCCCAGAGCUAUGAACAGACAAGGCAAUCGAAGGACAAAGACAGAAGGACCCAGCAAUCUCAGACUCCAGAACUCCAGCCUGC